AAAUGGAUUAACAAUAUUAUAAUAAUAAUUAAUAUUAUUUUAAAUGGAUUAACAAAUAUGCUUUAAGUGUCUCCAUUUUAGCUUUAUUCAUGCCUGCAUCUCCUGUACCUAGAACAGUGCCUAGCACAUGCAGAUGGUCAAUAACAAUUGAAAGAAUGACUUGAGUUGAAAAACAAUAAAAGAUGAGGAAACAAGCAAGAGAAGAUGCCAAGACCACACGGCUGGAAGUGACGGUGUGGAGUGGAACCUAGGUCUAGCAGGCACUAAGAUCCAGCCUUGACCAUGACCUGACACUGCUCUUCAUGACUUCAUUGUACUUACUUGGCAGAGAAGGAGAAGCAAUGAACACUUUGGAUCCUAACAGCCUAUGAGCUUUCACCACACCUGUUUUGCCGCUGCCAUCCUCCGGACUUCC